CCUACGGGUGGCAGCAGUGAGGAAUAUUGGUCAAUGGGCGCGAGCCUGAACCAGCCAAGUAGCGUGAAGGAUGACUGCCCUACGGGUUGUAAACUUCUUUUAUAAAGGAAUAAAGUGAGGCACGUGUGCCUUUUUGUAUGUACUUUAUGAAUAAGGAUCGGCUAACUCCGUGCCAGCAGCCGCGGUAAUACGGAGGAUCCGAGCGUUAUCCGGAUUUAUUGGGUUUAAAGGGAGCGUAGGUGGUUUUUUAAGUCAGCGGUGAAAGUUUGUGGCUCAACCAUAAAAUUGCCGUUGAUACUGGCAGACUUGAGUGUGGUUGAGGUAGGCGGAAUGCGUGGUGUAGCGGUGAAAUGCAUAGAUAUCACGAAGAACUCCGAUUGCGAAGGCAGCUUACUAAGCCAUAACUGACACUGAGGCUCGAAAGCGUGGGGAUCAAACAGGAUUAGAUACCCCAGUAGUC
rnacentral:rRNA from 1 species